GCAGUAGCUUAGUGGUAGAGAAUCUGUUUUGCAUGCAGACGCUCCCAGGUUCAAUCCCUGCCAUCAUCA